rnacentral:rRNA from 1 species
GCGAUGAGGGUACACCUGUUCCCAUCCCGAACACAGCAGUUAAGCUCAUCAGUGCCGAAAAUACUUUGGUGGUGACGCCACGGGAAGAUAGGGCGAUGCC